GACGAACGCUGGCGGCGUGCUUAACACAUGCAAGUCGAACGGAGUGGCGAACGGGUGAGUAACACGUGGGUGAACUGCCUUGCACUUCGGGAUAAGCUUGGGAAACUGGGUCUAAUACCGGAUAGUGCAAGAUGAGGUCGCGGCCAAUCAGCUUGUUGGUGGGGUGAUGGCGUACCAAGGCGUCGAGGGGUAGCCGGCCUGUGAGGGUGUACGGCCACAUUGGGACUGGGAUACGGCCCAGAGUCCUACGGGAGGCAGCGGUGGGGAAUAUUGCACAAUGGGCGGAAGUCUGAUGCAGCGACGCCGCGUGGGUAAUGAAGGCCUUCGGGUUGUAAACUCCUUUCGACUGGGACGCGGUACCUGUAUAAGAAGCACCGGCUAACUACGUGCCAGCAGCCGCGGUAAUUC
rnacentral:rRNA from 1 species